rnacentral:tRNA from 1 species
GUUUGGGUGGCAGAUACUGGAUAAUGCAAAAGAUUUAAGCCCUUUAAACGGAGGUUCAAAUCCUCCCCCUAACU